UACGGAGGGGGCUAGCGUUGUUCGGAAUUACUGGGCGUAAAGCGCACGUAGGCGGAUUGUUAAGUCAGGGGUGAAAUCCCGGAGCUCAACUCCGGAACUGCCUUUGAUACUGGCAAUCUAGAGUCCGGAAGAGGUGAGUGGAACUCCUAGUGUAGAGGUGGAAUUCGUAGAUAUUAGGAAGAACACCAGUGGCGAAGGCGGCCAGCUGGGCCAGAUCCGACACUGAGGCGCGAAAGCGUGGGGAGCAA
rnacentral:rRNA from 1 species